rnacentral:rRNA from 1 species
GUCGGAUGGAUUUAAAACAGCUUAGUGGCGGACGGGUGAGUAACGCGUGGGUAACCUGCCUCACACUGUUGGAUAACAGUUAGAAAUAGCUGCUAAUACCGCAUAAGCGCACAGUUCCGCAUGGAACAGUGUGAAAAACUCCGGUGGUGUGAGAUGGACCCGCGUCUGAUUAGCCAGUUGGCGGGGUAACGGCCCACCAAAGCGACGAUCAGUAGCCGGCCUGAGAGGGUGAACGGCCACAUUGGGACUGAGACACGGCCCAAACUCCUACGGGAGGCAGCAGUGGGGAAUAUUGCACAAUGGGGGAAACCCUGAUGCAGCGACGCCGCGUGAGUGAAGAAGUAUUUCGGUAUGUAAAGCUCUAUCAGCAGGGAAGAAAGUGACGGUACCUGAAUAAGAAGCCCCGGCUAACUACGUGCCAGCAGCCGCGGUAAUACGUAGGGGGCAAGCGUUAUCCGGAUUUACUGGGUGUAAAGGGAGCGUAGACGGCAAGGCAAGUCUGAAGUGAAAGCCCGGUGCUUAACGCCGGGACUGCUUUGGAAACUGUUUGGCUGGAGUGCCGGAGAGGUAAGCGGAAUUCCUAGUGUAGCGGUGAAAUGCGUAGAUAUUAUGAAGAACACCAGUGGCGAAAGCGGCUUACUGGAUGGUAACCUGACGUUGAGGCUCGAAAGCGUGGGGAGCAAACAGGA